UACGUAGGGGGCAAGCGUUGUCCGGAUUUAUUGGGCGUAAAGAGCGUGUAGGCGGCCUGACAGGUCUGCUGUGAAAACUCGAGGCUCAACCUCGAGAUGUCGGCGGAAACCGUCUGGCUAGAGUCCGGAAGAGGAGAGUGGAAUUCCGUGGUGUAGCGGUGGAAUGCGCAGAUAUCAGGAGGAACACCGGUGGCGAAGGCGGGUCUACUGGGCAGUAACUGCGCUGAGGAGCGAAAGCGUGGGGAGCGAACAGG
rnacentral:rRNA from 1 species